GUCCACGCCCUAAACGAUGUCAACUGGUUGUUGGACGGCUUGCUGUUCAGUAACGAAGCUAACGCGUGAAGUUGACCGCCUGGGGAGUAUGGCCGCAAGGUUGAAACUCAAAGGAAUUGACGGGGACCCCGCACAAGCGGUGGAUGAUGUGGUUUAAUUCGAUGCAACGCGAAAACCUUACCUACCCUUGACAUGUCAAGAAUCUUGCAGAGAUGUGAGAGUGCUCGAAAGAGAACUUGAACACAGGUGCUGCAUGGCCGUAGU
rnacentral:rRNA from 1 species